UUUCCCUUUAUUGAAACCCGUAUAAGGAAAAACAAAAACAUAAAAACCCAAAAAAUGGUUCAGGGAGGGAGACAUGUAGCGCUGAAUUAUUAAACAGAGAGACGGGGAGAAAGAGAACGAUAGAGAGAGAGAUUUGGUCAGGCAUAGAGAGUGGAGAGAGAAAAUCUGAGAAGACAGUCAGGCCUUUGCCACCAUCAGAUCCCGUAUCCUCCACCGGCUAUUUCCCUCCAUACGGUGGUAUGAAGUGGAGCACCCAAACAGGUUGGCGUAUUAGUUAAGACAACAAGGCUGACUAUAAGAGAAAUCAUCAGAACAUUUCUCCCUGCAUUCUCUCAAUUUGGUUCAUUUCACUUCAAUUCUUGAUUUGUUUUGGGUGACAGAGUUGCAACAUUGAGUGUGUGUUGGGUUAAUAUCUGUGUUUGUACAUAUAUUAAUUUUGAAUAUCAAAGGGUGAGGUUGAACGGAGCAGAGAGCUUGAUGAGAGACUAUAGACAUAUUAAAGCAUUUGAAGUAUAUAAAUGUUGGGGUUGAAUGGAAUCUACAAAGGUCUGUAUUUAUUCCUCACAAAAGGGACAUGAUAGGUAGAAAAUAAGAAGGGGAAACAAUAUUUGGCCGAUUGGAAAAGAGCAAGAACAAAAAGAACAACUGAGAUAUGAAAUGGGCAUUGAGCACAUAACCACACAAAAAGCAAUGAAAAGGCACAUUGGAAUUCAAAAGAAAAAAAAGUUAGCUAAUGCUGAAUUAGCAUCUUCAAAUGGACUUGGUUGAAUUGUUUUAGAUUUAGAUAUUUGAGUUAGAUUUGGUUUUAAUUAUGGUAUUGGGUUUAAAAUAAAUUUUGUUUUAAGUAUUUUGUAUUAGAUUUGGGUUAAAUUAGUUUUUGGUAUCUGCCUAUGGUGUUUGUAAUUAGAUUUGUAAAUGGAGAUAUGUGUUGGGUGUUUAGUACGUGGUAAAAGUGUAUUUAAAUAUAUUAUUAAAAAAAAUUAUUUCUAAUAAAUAUAAAUAAAAAGGUUCCCGCACAUCAUGUAGGUUAAAAAGCAAACUAUAUAUAAAAGCAAAAGCCUUUAAGAAGGUGCCGUCACAUUAGAAAAAAAAUUACCACUUAAAAUUCUGCCACGUAUAUAAAUUAAAAAGCGAUAAAUUAUGUUUUCUGGCAAUACCACAACAACAUUUAAAAACCUCUCAUUAUAAUUAACAAAAAAUAACCGGUUAAAAUGAAAGACUAUGCAUAGAUAGAAAUAGAGAGAGGCGAGAGGCCUGGGACGCAGAGAAAGAAACAGAGAAACAGGCUGGGACAUGGAGAAAGAAACAGAGAGAGGCAGAACGGUAAAGACUACAUCGAUUGGGCAAAAGAAAUCAAAAAAAUCUCAAAACACGAUUUUGCAGACGACGGAGAAAGAAACAGAGAAAGAGGCAGAGUUCUUAAGGCUGUCCAUUGUGCGUUACAAUCAAAAGAGAAAGAGAGCAGAGUUCGUCUGAACCAUACACCAUCCGUUCCCUUGCCAGAUUUAGACCACCAGAUCGCCGGAACUGACAUCGACAAUGAAUGAUUGAGUCCUGCACCAUUAGUAGCCUCGCCAUAGAAGAAAAAUCUAUGGACCAUCAACACUGUAAGACCAUAUAGCGAUAAAGUGAGAACUACCACCGUUGUGCCAAGAGGGAAAGUUGUGAAACCAAGAGAUAGUUAUGUUGAAGACAAUGGAAGAACAAGUGUAUUUCCAUAGUUUCAGAAUGAAUAGGAGGCAGAUGUGAAAAACACACCAGCAGUUUCGCUGCUUAAGAGGAAUCAUGAUUCAGUCAUGAGCCGCAUUGAUAUGGAGUUCUUUGCACCACGACUUCCUCCAUUUUAUCCUUUCGAGAAGGUCUCUAUGGAAUCGAUGGUACCUUUUAAAGUAACUACAAGUAUACAAGUUCACUAUUGUGUUGCUUCAGCAGUAUACAAUUAGCUUUUCUCAUGAAAAUUUUAUUGGUGAAGGUAUGCUUGGUAGUGUUUAUAGGGGUAAGUUCCCCGAUUGAAAAGUAAGAUUCUUUUAACUAAAUAAGAACUAAUUUGCCAGGAUGAUGGCGUGGCUGUUUGAUUGUGUGGCUUUUACUUCAAAAUGCCUCAUGUACGUUUGUAUUUGUUGUCUUUUUCUCCCUUCAUCUUCUCUAUCCUCAUUAGGAGUAGGAGAGUAGUCGAGAAAGAGCCAUAGACAAAUAAGACAAUGCAUUAGUGAAGUUUAGAAGAAUGCAAAAAUUGUCAAUAUCCUUAUGCUUCAAGAAAUUUAUGGAAAAGGAUUGUGCUAAAAAGCACCAACCAAAUGUACAUGGCUUAGGAAAAGAAUAGGUAGUUGUAGAUUUAUCUGUGAGAUUACACAAAUGUAACUUUGAUUUAGUGCCA